UACAUGGGGUGCAAACGUUUGCUCGGAAUUAUUGGGCGUAAAGCGCGCGUAGGCGGUUACUCAAGUCGGAUGUGAAAGCCCUCGGCUUAACUGAGGAAGUGCACCCGAAACUGAGUAGCUAGAGUACUAAAGAGGGUCGCGGAAUUCCCGGUGUAGAGGUGAAAUUCGUAGAUAUCGGGAGGAACACCGGUGGCGAAGGCGGCGACCUGGGUAGAUACUGACGCUGAGGCGCGAAA
rnacentral:rRNA from 1 species